CAGGAUGAACGCUAGCGGCAGGCCUAACACAUGCAAGUCGAGGGGCAGCGCGGGUAGCAAUACCUGGCGGCGACCGGCGUACGGGUGCGUAACGCGUAUGUAACCUGGCUCCGAUUGGGGGAUAGCCUUCCGAAAGGAAGAUUAAUACCGCAUAACAUCGCUUUCCCGCAUGAGAGAGCGAUUAAAUAUUUAUAGAUCGGAGAUGGACAUGCGUGACAUUAGCUAGUUGGCGAGGUAACGGCUCACCAAGGCGACGAUGUCUAGGGGUCCUGAGAGGGAGAACCCCCACAUUGGUACUGAGACAGGGACCAAACUCCUACGGGAGGCAGCAGUGAGGAAUAUUGGUCAAUGGUCGGAAGACUGAACCAGCCAAGUCGCGUGCAGGAAGACGGUCCUAUGGAUUGUAAACUGCUUUUGUACGGGAAUAAAGUGCGGGACGUGUCCCGUUUGGAAUGUACCGUAAGAAUAAAGGUCGGCUAACUCCGUGCCAGCAGCCGCGGUAAUACGGAGGACCCGAUCGUUAUCCGGAUUUAUUGGGUUUAAAGGGUGCGGAGGGGGGUAGGGAAAUUCUGGUGUGAAAGGGGGGGGCUCAACCCCCAUACAGCAACGGAUACUGGCAAACUUGAGGGCAGAAGAGGGUAGUGGAAUUCCAUGUGUAGCGGUAAAAUCGGAAGAUAUAUGGAGGAACACCAGCGGGGAAGGCGACUUCCUGGUCUGUAACUGACGCUCAUGCACGAAAGCGUGGGGAGCAAAUAGGAUUAGAUACCCCUAGUAGUCCACGCCCUAAACGAUGAAUACUAAAUGUUGGAGCAAUUCAGGUGUUGUAGCUAACGCAAUAAGUAUUCCGCCUGAGGAGUAUGCACGCAAGUGUAAAACUUAAAGGAAUUGACGGGGACCCGCACAAGCGGUGGAGUAUGUGGUUCAAUUCGACGCAACGCGAAGAACCUUACCAGGCCUUGACAUCCCGAGCAAUGCUAUAGAGAUAUAGCGGAGGUUACCUCGGUGACAGGUGGUGCAUGGUUGUCGUCAGCUCGUGUCGUGAGAUGUUGGGUUAAGUCCCGCAACGAGCGCAACCCUUGUCUUUAGUUACCAUCAUUAAGUUGGGGACUCUAGAGAGACCGCCGAUUAUAAAUCGGAGGAAGGUGGGGAUGACGUCAAAUCAUCAUGCCCCUUAUGGCCUGGGCUACACACGUACUACAAUGGCGUAUACAACAAGAUGCAAAACAGCGAUGUCAAGCUAACCUUAUAAAAUACGUCCCAGUUCGGACUGAAGUCUGCAACCCGACUUCACGAAGUUGGAAUCGCUAGUAAUCGCGAAUCAGCCAUGGCGCGGUGAAUACGUUCCCGGGCCUUGCACACACCGCCCGUCAAG
rnacentral:rRNA from 1 species